ACACACACACAUACAGAGCACACAAGCUUUUGCAUUCAUUCAAAUGUGGGUUCUUGAUGUCCAUGGAUCAAAGUCUAAAAGUCUAUUUUGUACAAUUUUCGUUCUUUGUAAGCUACUACUGCAAAAGAAGUGAAAUGGACACUAAAUUUGAACAUUACAUAAAGUAACGAAAAUAAAAACAAUUAUUGCUUUCACCACGUAUUUAUGAAUAUAAACAAAAUCCAAUAAAAAAAAAUUGGACCCAUAUUGACUUCUGUUUUGUGCAGGAGGACUUUUGACAACAAGUGGUGCCUGCCAAAGCUUCAGAACAGGACAAAGAUGUUCCUGCAAAAUAACAAAAUUCACAGUUUGACAACACUUAAGACGGAAAGCCACGUGCGCGCGCGCACACACACACACACACACCACACACCACACACCACACACCACACACCACACACCACACACCACACACCACACACCACACACCACACACACACACACACACACACACAGGACACUAACACUGUUAUAGACAGGUAGAGGAAAGCCAGGCCGACAGUUGCUACAUUUAACAUGGAACUACUAUGAUCAUAGCAUACUGUUGAGUUGAUCACAAGACUGUCUGCAGCUUGGAGAAUUGGUCAGGGUUAUGUCUAAAACAGCAGGGGGAAUUGGUCAGGGUUAUGUCUAAAACAGCAGGGGGAAUUGGUCAGGGUUAUGUCAAAACAGCAGGGGGAAUUGGUCAGGGUUAUGUCUAAAAGAGCUAGGGGAAUUGGUCAGGGUUAUGUCAAAACAGCAGGGGGAAUUGGUCAGGGUUAUGUCUAAAACAGCAGGGGGAAUUGGUUAGGGUUAUGUCAAAACAGCAGGGGGAAUUGGUCAGGGUUAUGUCUAAAACAGCAUGGGGAAUUGGUCAGGCUUACUUCUAAAACAGCUAGGGGAAUUGGUCAGGCUUAUGUCUAAAACAGCUUGGGGAAUUGGUCAGGCUUAUGUCUAAAACAGCAGGGGGAAUUGGUCAGGCUUAUGUCUAAACAGCAGGGGGAAUUGACCAGGCUUAUGUCUAAAACAGCUAGGGGAAUUGGUCAGGCUUACUUCUAAAACAGCUAGGGGAAUUGGUCAGGCUUAUGUCUAAAACAGCUUGGGGAAUUGGUCAGGCUUAUGUCUAAAACAGUUAGGGGAAUUGGUCAGGGUUAUGUCUAAAACAGCAGGGGGAAUUGGUCAGGGUUAUGUCUAAAACAGCUUGGGGAAUUGGUCAGGCUUAUGUCUAAAACAGUUAGGGGAAUUGGUCAGGGUUAUGUCUAAAACAGCUAGGGGAAUUGGUCAGGGUUAUGUCUAAAACAGCCAGGGGAAUUGGUCAGGCUUAUGUCUAAAACAGCCAGGGGAAUUGGUCAGGGUUAUGUCUAAAACAGCUUGGGGAAUUGGUCAGGCUUAUGUCUAAAACAGUUAGGGGAAUUGGUCAGGGUUAUGUCUAAAACAGCUAGGGGAAUUGGUCAGGGUUAUGUCUAAAACAGCCAGGGGAAUUGGUCAGGCUUAUGUCUAAAACAGCUAGGGGAAUUGGUCAGGGUUAUGUCUAAAACAGCUAGGGGAAUUGGUCAGGGUUAUGUCUAAAACAGCUAGGGGAAUUGGUCAGGGUUAUGUCUGAAACAGCUAGGGGAAUUGGUCAGCCUUAUGUCUAAAACAGCAGGGGGAAUUGGUCAGGGUUAUGUCUAAAACAGCAGUGGGAAUUGGUCAGGGUUAUGUCUAAAACAGCAGGGGGAAUUGGUCAGGGUUAUGUCUAAAACAGCAGGGGAAUUGGUCAGGGUUAUGUCUAAAACAGCAUGGGGAAUUGGUCAGGGUUAUGUCUAAAACAGCAGGGGGAAUUGGUCAGGCUUACUUCUAAAACAGCUAGGGGAAUUGGUCAGGCUUAUGUCUAAAACAGCUUGGGGAAUUGGUCAGGCUUAUGUCUAAAACAGUUAGGGGAAUUGGUCAGGGUUAUGUCUAAAACAGCAGGGGGAAUUGGUCAGGGUUAUGUCUAAAACAGCUUGGGGAAUUGGUCAGGCUUAUGUCUAAAACAGUUAGGGGAAUUGGUCAGGGUUAUGUCUAAAACAGCUAGGGGAAUUGGUCAGGGUUAUGUCUAAAACAGCCAGGGGAAUUGGUCAGGCUUAUGUCUAAAACAGCAGGGGGAAUUGGUCAGGGUUAUGUCUAAAACAGCUUGGGGAAUUGGUCAGGCUUAUGUCUAAAACAGUUAGGGGAAUUGGUCAGGGUUAUGUCUAAAACAGCUAGGGGAAUUGGUCAGGGUUAUGUCUAAAACAGCCAGGGGAAUUGGUCAGGCUUAUGUCUAAAACAGCUAGGGGAAUUGGUCAGGGUUAUGUCUAAAACAGCUAGGGGAAUUGGUCAGGGUUAUGUCUAAAACAGCUAGGGGAAUUGGUCAGGGUUAUGUCUGAAACAGCUAGGGGAAUUGGUCAGCCUUAUGUCUAAAACAGCAGGGGGAAUUGGUCAGGGUUAUGUCUAAAACAGCAGUGGGAAUUGGUCAGGGUUAUGUCUAAAACAGCAGGGGGAAUUGGUCAGGGUUAUGUCUAAAACAGCAGGGGGAAUUGGUCAGGGUUAUGUCUAAAACAGCAUGGGGAAUUGGUCAGGGUUAUGUCUAAAACAGCAGGGGGAAUUGGUCAGGCUUAUGUCUAAAACAGCAGGGGGAAUUGGUCAGGGUUAUGUCUAAAACAGCAGGGGGAAUUGGUCAGGCUUAUGUCUAAAACAGCAGGGGUAAUUGGUCAGGGUUAUGUCUAAAACAGCCAGGGGAAUUGGUCAGGGUUAUGUCUAAAACAGCAGGGGGAAUUGGUCAGGCUUAUGUCUAAAACAGCCAGGGUAAUUGGUGAGGGUUAUGUCUAAAACAGCAGGGUGAAUUGGUCAGGCUUAUGUCUAAACAGCAGGGGGAAUUGGUCAGGGUUAUGUCAAAACAGCAGGGGGAAUUGGUCAGGCUUAAGUCUAAACAUCUAGGGGAAUUGGUCAGGGUCAUGUCUAAAACAGCCAGGGGAAUUGGUCAGGGUUAUGUCUAAACAGCAGGGGGAAUUGGUCAGGCUUAAGUCUAAACAGCAGGGGGAAUUGGUCAGGGUUAUGUCUACAAGAGCAGGGGGAAUUGGUCAGGCUUAUGUCUAAAACAGCAGGGGGAAUUGGUCAGGCUUAUGUCUAAAACAGCCAGGGGAAUUGGUCAGGGUUAUGUCUAAACAGCAGGGGGAAUUGGUCAGGGUUAUGUCUAAACAGCAGGGGGAAUUGGUCAGGCUUAUGUCUAAACAGCAGGAGGAAUUGGUCAGGGUUAUGUCUAAAACAGCUAGGGGAAUUGGUCAGGGUUAUGUCUAAAACAGCAGGGGGAAUUGGUCAGGGUUAUGUCUAAAACAGCUAGGGGAAUUGGUCAGGGUUAUGUCUAAACAGCAGGGGGAAUUGGUCAGGGUUAUGUCUAAAACAGCAGGGGGAAUUGGUCAGGGUUAUGUCUAAAACAGCAGGGGGAAUUGGUCAGGGUUAUGUCUAAAACAGCAGGGGGAAUUGGUCAGGCUUAUGUCUAAAACAGCAGGGGGAAUUGGUCAGGGUUAUGUCUAAAACAGCCAGGGGAAUUGGUCAGGGUUAUGUCUAAAACAGCAGGGGGAAUUGGUCAGGCUUAUGUCUAAAACAGCCAGGGUAAUUGGUCAGGGUUAUGUCUAAAACAGCAGGGGGAAUUGGUCAGGCUUAUGUCUAAACAGCAGGGGGAAUUGGUCAGGGUUAUGUCUAAAACAGCCAGGGUAAUUGGUCAGGGUUAUGUCAAAACAGCAGGGGGAAUUGGUCAGGCUUAAGUCUAAACAUCUAGGGGAAUUGGUCAGGGUCAUGUCUAAAACAGCCAGGGGAAUUGGUCAGGGUUAUGUCUAAAAGAGCAGGGGGAAUUGGUCAGGCUUAUGUCUAAAACAGCAGGGGGAAUUGGUCAGGCUUAUGUCUAAAACAGCCAGGGGAAUUGGUCAGGGUUAUGUCUAAACAGCAGGGGGAAUUGGUCAGGGUUAUGUCUAAACAGCAGGGGGAAUUGGUCAGGGUUAUGUCUAAACAGCAGGGGGAAUUGGUCAGGCUUAUGUCUAAACAGCAGGAGGAAUUGGUCAGGGUUAUGUCUAAAACAGCUAGGGGAAUUGGUCAGGGUUAUGUCUAAAACAGCAGGGGGGAUUGGUCAGGGUUAUGUCUAAACAGCAUGGGGAAUUGGUCAGGGUUAUGUCUAAAACAGCUAGGGGAAUUGGUCAGGGUUAUGUCUAAAACAGCAGGGGGAAUUGGUCAGGGUUAUGUCUAAAACAGCUAGGGGAAUUGGUCAGGGUUAUGUCUAAACAGCAGGGGGAAUUGGUCAGGGUUAUGUCUAAAACAGCCAGGGGAAUUGGUCAGGGUUAUGUCUAAAACAGCAGGGGGAAUUGGUCAGGGUUAUGUCUAAAACAGCAGGGGGAAUUGGUCAGGGUUAUGUCUAAAACAGCAGGGGGAAUCGGUCAGGGUUAUGUCUAAAACAGCAUUGGGAAUUGGUCAGGGUUAUGUCUAAAACAGCAGGAAUAGAUGUCCCAUUAGAGACUAGAGGAGUAUGGGGAAUAGAUGUCCCAUUCGAGACUUGAGGAGUAUGGGGAAUAUAUGUCCCAUUAGAGACUUGAGGAGUAUGGGGAAUAAAAGUCCCAUUAGAGACUAGAGGAGUAUGGGGAAUAGAUAUCCCAUUAGAGACCUGAGCCCUGUGCUCCUCCUGCUAACCGUCUGUCAUACUGGGAAAAUGUUACACAUCCUAAUCUAGAGAUCGCUCCCUGCAUGUGACUGUUGUUUAGGAGGGAGGGAGUUGUCUGAUUCCCCAACUAAAUAGCAGAGAUAAUGGAUUUAUCCCCUGUUUAUCGGCCUGGACCGGGCUCAGCCCUGCAACAACACAGGAAUUUCCUGGUGAGAAACAAGUCAGAGAGAAAGGGAGAGAGAUAGAAAGAAAGAAAGAAAGAAAGAAAGAAAGAGAGAGAAAGAGAUAAAUGGGAGAGGAGAUAGAUACAGGGAGAACUACAGAGAUAGACACAGAGA